rnacentral:rRNA from 1 species
UACGAAGGGUGCAAACGUUGCUCGGAAUUAUUGGGCGUAAAGAGCUCGUAGGCGGUCUGUCGCGUCUGCUGUGAAAACUCGGGGCUUAACCCCGGGCCUGCAGUGGGUACGGGCAGACUAGAGUGCGGUAGGGGAGACUGGAAUUCCUGGUGUAGCGGUGAAAUGCGCAGAUAUCAGGAGGAACACCGGUGGCGAAGGCGGGUCUCUGGGCCGUAACUGACGCUGAGGAGCGAAAGCGUGGGGAGCGAACAGG